GCAAUAACACUACAACUUAUUUAGGUUUAGACAACAACACUACAACUUCUUUAGGUUUAGGCAACAACACUACAACUUCUUUAGGUUUAGGCAAUAAAACUACAACUUAUUUAGGUUUAGACAACAACACUACAACUGCUUUAGGUUUAGGCAACAAAACUACAACUUCUUUAGGUUU